rnacentral:lncRNA from 1 species
GGAAGAUCAUCUGCUUGCAGCCUACACUUGACCUCGAGUCACUGAAACCAUAGAAAGCUAAACUGCAGAUGAAGAAGCCUGGAGAAGAGAAAGAAUCAAGUGGGAACAACAUAGCUAGGACGGCACUGGAUGCUGUAUGACACCACUUUCCACUGGCACAUCCAAGGGGUUUCCUGCUCUCUCUGCCUGGCAUCAUUUGCUUAUGAUUUAAGGUCCAAAGUGAGAGGUCUGAUUACUGAGUGGUCUGAUUGCCUGAGUAGCCCAGAUAACAAUAUGUUACACUCACAAAAUAAAAGAAGACUCAGAUACUGCAUAGAAAGCUUUAAAGUCUGCAAUUAUGUAACCUGGAUAUUUUCCAGUCAUUUUUGCUACCAUUAAUACAAUUCGUAUGAUGUCCCAACUCAAAAGAAGAUAACAGCAAAACUGAGAAAUGCAGAGAAAGAGAGCUGGAAUCUUGAUGACACAUGACCCUAAAUGAAACUGCUCCUCUGAUACUGGUAUGCCUUUGGGUUUUCUAUUAGGUGAGCCAAAA